CAAACACAGUUGGCCCUUAACUGAACACCUCGGGUGUCCGGCGGCCGGAGCGCCUCACUGCUCAGUCGCCAUGGCGUCCCUCGUGCCCCGGCUCCUUGGCCGCCGGGCUCUGCAACCCGCCGUUGCUCUACGCUCUCCACGCGAUCCUUGGAUGCGAUUCCACGGCGCAAAUCCCCCACGCCCCUGCCCGCUGUUCCGGCCUUCCCUGGGGGUUGAUGGAUGCGCGAGAGCUGCGCGGAGAUGGUGGUUUCUCUCGCCGGUAAGGCACCGGAGCACGGCGGUGACGCUGAACACGGACGGAGGCUUUGCGCGCUUCUCGGUCGGAGAUCCGGGCACGAAUCAGAAUGGGGGGCAGAAUCAGCCGCAAGCGAAGAAGAAGAAGAUGUCCAAGAAGUCCAAGGUCAACCAGCUCAAGUGGUAUCGCCUCAAGGCCAAAAAGAAGAUGAAGUCGCCCAACCCCGAAGUCAGGAUAAGAUACAAGCUCGAAAAGGCCAAGAGGAAAGAAGAAUGGCUGAUUGAGAAACUCAGGAAGUACGAGGCCCCGAGGGCUCCGGAGCCGGUUCAUGACCCUGAGAUUCUGACCGAGGAGGAGAAGUUCUAUCUGAAACGGACUGGGGAGAAGAAAAAGAACUAUGUUCCUGUUGGGAGGAGAGGGGUGUUUGGUGGUGUGGUUCUCAACAUGCACCUCCACUGGAAGAAGCAUGAGACUAUGCAAGUAGUCUGCAAGCCCUGUCGACCUGGGCAAGUGUAUGAGUACGCAGAGGAGUUGGCGAGGCUCAGCAAAGGGACAGUUAUUGAUAUUAAACCUAAUAAUACCAUUAUCUUUUAUCGUGGAAAGAAUUAUGUGCAGCCAAAGGUUAUGUCACCUCCUGAUACUCUUUCUAAGCAGAAGGCCUUGGAGAAAUAUAGGUAUGAACAGUCUCUUGAACAUACCAGUAAAUUUAUUGAGCAGCUGGAACAGGAGCUUGAAGAUUACCAGAAGCAUGUUGCUUUAUUUAAGAAGCGUGAAGGGGCUAUUUCUGAGCAAAUCAGUAAUGAAGACUCUGAUGUGGAUGACCUCACAACUAGCUCAGAUACCGAUUGAAUUGCCUUCUUCCUCAAUUGACAUCUCAUAUUCCGUGAUGAAGGGUUCUCACGCUUCCUCGUCAAAUGGAAAAAGGGGCAGUUAGUAGUUCAAGAACUAUUAUACUGUUGGAGUACCAUGAACCCAAAGGAGCUACACCUAUGAGGAAUCAAGUACCAUAAACAUAUUUAUGGGAUGGUCACAUUGAGAGUUAGUAAAGUUUACGGUUUGAAGAUUUAAGGUAGUAGUGGAUGCUGAUGGUGGAGGAGACGAGUUGAACUUUUUGAGAGAGAUGGGCUUGCUUGUUGCUUCAAUACUGAUAAAUCAACUUGGGUUAUCGCUGCAAAGGAAGCCUCUCAAAUGGAAACUGUUGUGUUCCGUUGUUUAACUAUUUUCUGCUUUAUGGCCGGAAGAAGCCUAUCAACCAUGUAAUCAUGACUUACAUCUGCCAGUAGAACCUUGGUGACCAUUCCCGCCUCACGGAUUUUAUUACUAGUCUUUACCAUUUUUUCAUACAUGAAAGCUCAAAGGCCUAUCUUGCCAAUAAAAUGUAAUGGCACCAUCAACAUCUGUCGAGGCAUUUCUACCUCCGUCAAGAACAUAACUUUCUCGAUAAAACCAUGGCUCUGUUUAUUGUGGUCAGGAUCAUCCUCAUUUGGUGCCAAAUAAUAAUUCUGAGUACCCCAAGUGCGGUACAAUUACUUUGCAUCGAUGUGUAUGAUAUUGUACAUCCUUUUGAUGUGGGCUCUUCCAAAUGCUAUGAUCAUCAAAGAUGAAUAAAGAAAACCAUAUUCUGCCAAACUUGUUCUCCUCUGUUAAAGUGUGCUUGAUGACAUUGGUGUGACGGAUGAGCCUUCCUUCCUUUAACCUCUACCACAAGGUAGUCUUCGCCAUAUGUAGCUCUUUAGGAAGAUCUUUCAAAGUUGUUC